GACACUUUGGCUGAGUGGUUAAAGCGAUAGACUCGAAUCAACGUCGAAAUCUAUUCCUCUAUGAGGGCGCAGGUUCAAAUCCUGCAGGUGUCG
rnacentral:tRNA from 1 species